ACAUUUAUAAACAUUUUUAUAUGUUCCCUUCCAGUCAGUUUUCUAUACACAUGUAUACAUUUUUUCCUAUUACAAAACAGGGAUCAUACGAAAAUUCUCAAUUGUACCUUUUUUAUGCUGAAGACAGUCUUGAAGAAGCCCACCUGUAGGUAGCAGGAGAUGGAGAAGGGUUUGUUAGAGAGUAAGCAGAGGCCAUGAGAGGUAAAUAUUGGGGACAGUAAGUGCGGAAAGAAUUUCAAGAAGUCACCAAAUGCUUCUGAGAGGUCAGAUGUGAUGGAGAAGUAAGCAGCAGUGGCAUUUAAUAAUGAGAUGUUCAUUUGCGUUAUUUGAGCGCAGGCCAGUACAAUGGGGGGAUCAGAUCUAGGCUCUGAGUGUUAAGGAGUCCGGGACAGUGAGGAAGGAGAGGGAGCAAGUACGAGGUGCGUUUCCCAUCCGUUUGGUUGGGGAGUGUAAGGAGAGAGGAAGGACUGUGCCAUUUAGAGGAUUUUUCGAGGUUGAGAAUCUCUGAGAGGUGAAGGAUCGACUGCUGAGUGAGAGAGUGAUUGAUGUUCAGGAAGGAGGAUCAUUGAUGCAAGACUCAGAGCAAGUGGGACGCAGAGAGAUCAAGGGCAGGCACACGGAGCAGAGGGAGCAAGCAGUUAUUCGGGUGGGGACUGGGAGCGUUUGGGGAAAGGUGUGCCCAACGGAGCUGUUCCUCCCAGAGAGAAUGUUCCUUCCCCUUCCUGCUAUCUGCUUCCUUACGUCUCUCAGGUUCUGCAUAAGACAGAUGGGCUCAGAAUCGUCACUGAGGUCUGGGUAAGUGUGGACUCAGCAGCUGAGGCAGCCUGAAGUCACUGUCCACCUGGAGAGCUGGGUCAGAAGAUGGAGGCAGAGACAAAUAUCCCGUGUCUCUGUUUAGCCUUAUUUCAGGUCAGUGGGUAUGAUUUUACCUGAGGCAUUUGCUUUGAGUCUUUACCAAACACUGUGGAAUCGCAUUACCACUGAUCUAGGCAUUCUCAGACAUCACCGGAAGUUCCUGUCCGCGGAGGCGGGCCCAGGGCAGGGGCAGGCGCGGCCAUGGGCGGUACCUGGAGCCUGCGCGGGCUCCGCCCACAAGCCGGUGGCUGCUAGUGCGCAGGCGCCAGAUGGAGUGCACGCAUGGGACAGGGAGGACGCAGAGGCGGGCCUAAUGCCCGCUCGAGGAGGCGGGGUCACAGACUGAGGGGCGGGGCCGGAACCAGAGGGGCGGGGCCGAGGUCCCAAGGCUAGUCUUGGGCGAAAGUCAGGGACCAAGGGAGGAGCCCAGGACGCCUGACUCUAUAUGUUGAGGGUGGAGCCCGUUUCCGGUGGAGAGGGGAGAGUUCCAGUGCUCUGGAGCUGAAGAGUGUGCCUGGUGCGUGCCCUUCCUAGUUCCUCAGAGGACCCUUGGCCUCUGGAUGCCCCUUGUGUGAGGUUGUGAGAACACAUUUUCCUGCUUAUUCAUGCAUCUCUCAGCCAGACAUUGUUGGCACCCAGGCCACACAUAUCUGCCACAUUAAUAGGAAAGCCCAAAAUAUUAGCCAACAUAAUCCAGAGCUGCAUCUUCAAAGAAUGAUGACUAUGGCCAGGAAAUGUAAAGAAGGUUCAAUGUUAAGAACUCUCUUAAUUUGCUAUUUUAAGAGACCAAAAGAGGAUAAUCAUACAGUCAUCUCCAUAGAUGUUAAAAAGAUAAAAAGAGGGGUUAUAUGAUUUUACAACAGGAAUUUGCUUUUAGUCUACUAUCAACACCAAAAUCAAAUUACCGCUCUGAUCAUUACAUCACUUUCUCUAACAUCAUAAUCACUUAUAUGCACAUAAUGCACCACUUGAUUAGGGCGAUGACACUCCAAUUUCUUUAAUAAUUCAUGUGUUUUAUGAGGUAAUGCUGCAGGUCAGCCCCUCUAGUUGCCCACGACAGCUCGGCCCAAAGACGCUGUGGCUCCUGUUGUUCCCAUUUAAAAUACGUAAUUGAAUAAUGACUUUAGAGUUGGAAUUUUAAGUAGAGCUCUUACUAGGUUUAUCUAUUGUUUAUAUAUUGGAACACUUACGGGAAACUUAGUUUCUCUGAUUUCAUAGGUUUACUCUGUUAAAUAGAAUUAUUUAUUAUUUGUGAAGGGUUUAUUUAUUAAGACUUUGUGUUUUCUUCCUCCCAAAUCUCCUUUCCCUCUCUUCCUUAUUUUGGUAAAUGGCAAUUCUUUCCUUCCUAUUCUUCAAGCCAAACACCUUUGUGUCCUCCUUGACUCCUCUGUUUCCUUCAUGCCCCACAUUAACUCCAUCAGCAAAUCCUCAGCUCUAUGUUCAACAAGAACCUGAAUGUGACCAGGUCAUUGCACCUCCACUGUUACUGCACUUGUCAAACCCUCCAUUACCACUCUCCUGGAUUAUUCUAAUAGGCUCCUAACUAGGCUUUCUACUUCUUCCUUACUCUACGCAGUCACUUCUUGUACACAUCUUUUGUUGAACAUCUGUACACAUUUCUGUCAGCUAAAGAACUUGCUGGGUCACAAGUCAAGGUGAUGUCCAAAGACUACAAAAGCAUGAGUUGAAACCCUCCAAAAAUGUACCCUCCUUCUGUCCCCUAGCGCAAGCUCCCUGCCUAAGGAGAGGGAGUGAGAGCACUCUGUUCCUUCUUCUCCAUCACUUGGGAGAAGGGGCUGUGAAGAAAGGGACAUGGUGCCCUCUUUUUCCUGUGGGUCUCAGGAUCCCUCUAGCUGGGAAGAAAAAAGAUUUUUAAAAAGUUUGUGUUCUGUCGUACAAAGAAACAGAAGGAAACUUGAACUUUAAAUUAUCCCAUCUGUCACUUUCCAUUGAUUGAGUCUUGCUCAUUAAGAUAAAUUCCAAGCUAGAAUAUAAUUUUUUAUGUUUUGCCUUUUGAGCUCUCCAGAAUGUAUGCCUUUCAGCUACCUCGGUUUCUUUCUUUUUUUUUCAUUCUUUCUUUCUUUUGCUCUCCCCCCCCCCCCAUAUUGCCAGCUGCCAAGGAGGAAUGGGGCACUCUAUCUCAUGGUGUUUCCCUUCUUAUUUGAGUUCUUCUGCAGUUCAACACCUGACAUCCACCUGCAGAGAUGCCCAAGCAAAGUCAGACACCCCCUUUUCUCUCUCUUGCGUGCCGUGUUGGUACAAGAAGGGUGUGCGGCUUCUCUGGGACAGAAGAGAACCCAAAUUGAGCUCUACUGUUAACUAGCUGUGGGAUCCUGGAGGAGUCGUUUACCCUGAUUCUUAGCUUCCACGUCUGUUGAAGGGGAGAUGCUCAUGAAGAGGACAGGAUGGCUAGGUUUUGGUAUCAAGCUUAUGCUGGCCUCAUCAAUGAGGUGAGGAGUGCUCCCUCCUACUCUACUUCCUGAAAGAGAUUAUGUCUAUUGGAAUCAACCAAUCCUUCACUGUUUGGCAGAACUUACUUAUAAAACCAUCUGAGCUUGUUUACUUUAUCAGAAAUUUUUUAACUAACUGACUCAAUGAUUAGAAGACUAUUAAAGCUUUCUGUUUAUUUCUUGACCUAUUUGAUAAAUUAGAUUUUUCUAGGGAAGUGUUUAUUUUAUCUGAAUAAAUAUAUUCAUCCAGCAAAAAUGAAUUGAAUAGC
ensembl:lncRNA